UACUUGUUGGUCUAUGUAGAUGAUAUCAUUUUGGUCAGCUCCUCUCAGUCGGCUGCUACUGCGCUUGUUCGCUCACUUGGUGCUGAUUUUGCGGUCAAGGACCUUGGGAAGCUUCAUUACUUUCUUGGUGUGGAGGUUACUUCUCGUGCUGCUGGCCUUGUUAUGACGCAGAAGAAGUACUCUCUGGAUUUGUUACAGCGAGCUGGGAUGCUUAAGUGCAAACCGACGACUACACCCAUGUCUACCACUGAUAAGCUCAAUGCUGUUGAUGGUGUGCUUCUUUCUUCUUCUGAUGCGACCGAGUACAGGAGUAUUGUUGGUGGGCUCCAGUACUUGACGAUCACGCGACCAGACAUUUCCUAUGCUGUUAACCGAGUCUGCCAGUAUCUGCAGUCACCCCGUGACACUCAUUGGUCUGUUGUUAAGCGGAUUUUGCGCUAUAUUCGUUUCACGGUGGCUCAUGGUUUGCAUAUUCGGUCGUCUGACUCUGGUUGUCUUUCAGCAUAUUCUGAUGCAGACUGGGCUGGCAAUCCGGAUGACAGGCGAUCCACGGGGGGUUAUGCUGUCUUCUUUGGCUCUAACCUGAUUGCCUGGAGUGCUCGGAAACAGGCUACUGUCUCGCGUAGCAGUACUGAGGCUGAGUAUAAGGCUGUGGCCAAUGCCACAUCAGAGAUUAUCUGGGUACAGUCCUUGCUUCAGGAGUUAAGUAUACCCCAAUCACAGCCUCCUGUUCUUUGGUGUGAUAACAUCGGUGCUACAUACUUUUCUGCAAAUCCGGUAUUCCAUGCCCGAACGAAACACAUUGAAGUUGACUAUCACUUUGUGCGUGAACGUGUC
rnacentral:rRNA from 1 species